rnacentral:rRNA from 1 species
AGUGAACGCUGGCGGUAGGCCUAACACAUGCGAGUCGAACGGCAGCACAGUAAGAGCUUGCUCUUACGGGUGGCGAGUGGCGGACGGGUGAGGAAUACAUCGGAAUCUACUUUUUCGUGGGGGAUAACGUAGGGAAACUUACGCUAAUACCGCAUACGACCUACGGGUGAAAGCAGGGGAUCUUCGGACCUUGCGCGAUUGAAUGAGCCGAUGUCGGAUUAGCUAGUUGGCGGGGUAAAGGCCCACCAAGGCGACGAUCCGUAGCUGGUCUGAGAGGAUGAUCAGCCACACUGGAACUGAGACACGGUCCAGACUCCUACGGGAGGCGGCAGUGGGGAAUAUUGGACAAUGGGCGCAAGCCUGAUCCAGCCAUACCGCGUGGGUGAAGAAGGCCUUCGGGUUGUAGAGCCCUUUUGUUGGGAAAGAAAAGCAGCAGGUUAAUACCCCGCUGUUCUGACGGUACCCAAAGAAUAAGCACCGGCUAACUUCGUG